rnacentral:lncRNA from 1 species
GAAAACCAUAGUAAGUAAUCUGUUUGACCUCACCAUACAAGGCUUCCAAAAUCAUGGAUGAGAUCACACCCAAAUCAUUGUCAAACCCCAUCAUCAAUUCAUAUUUCAAGAGAACCUAGGAACAGCCUUGCAAACCAAGGACUGUUUCAUCUCCAUUGAGAGCUUGAGGCACUCAGACAAGUCCACACCAGAGUCACAAGCAACCCAUUUGAAGUUUUGGAGCAAUUGAGCCAACCACAGUUGCACAGUUGCUAAACCCAUUGCUUUCCCAGGACAAACCCUUCUUCCAGAGCCAAAUGGUGCCAACCUAAGAUCAGAACCCAAAAUGCUCACAUCCUCCUCCAUAAAGCGACUUGGCUUGAAUUCCUUAGGCUCAUCCCACACAGCAUCAUCAUGGGUUAUUGCCCACAUAUUCACCAUAGCUGUGGUGCCUGCAGGGAUGAAGUGCGAACCAAUGUGGGUAUCAUGAAUGGAAAGGCGUGCCCAGGAAAGGAGCGGGCCAGGUGGAUGCAUGCGGAGAGUUUCCUUUACUAUGGCAUGGAGAUAAGGGAGUUUAUGAAUGUCUGAAUCAGACACCAGUCGGGUGGCUCCAACCACUGCAUCUAUUUCAGAUUGGGCUUUGGAUUGAAUAUCGGGGUGUAAAACCAUUCUUGCAAGAAUCCACUCCAACAGAAUUGCCACCGUGUCAGUCCCUCUAAAGAUCAUUUCCUGAGAUUGCAACAUAUUUCCAAUUACACAAACGUGUGAAGAUUAAAUAAAACACGAUGAUAAUAAAGAAAAAGUCAAGGAAAAGAAAUGCAUCACCAUGACAAAGCAUAAAUUGUAAAGCAUAAGAAACAAAGACAGGAAAGAAAGAAAAGAAAGAAAAUGAAUCUUAUCACGGUGAAAAGAGAAACUAUUCAGAUUCUCAAUAUCUAUGGAUGCCCAAAAAAACAAACUUAAAGAAAAGACCUGGCUAUUUCAAGCAUCAAUGUAACAGUAACAAAGAGGGAAAAUGCAUAAAAAGGCUAAAAACUAAAACAUGAAAAACCUAGUGAAUGCAACCACAAAAAAAAGGUCUAAUGAGAAAAAAAAACCUUUGUCAAGAUGUGCUGGGGAAGCACACCAAGAACAGAAAAUGAACAUAUUUCUACAGUAGGUGAUGAACCUGACAAUAGAAUGUUUGAAGGCGCUUACCCAUAAAACAGCAAUCAUAUCAGAGUCGCUGAGCCUGCUUUCCUUUUCCAAAUCGAGUAAGACGUCAACAAAAUCGCCUGAACUGUCAUCACCAUCACGACCCACUUCUCCAUCACCAACCCUCCUGAGCCUGUGCUCAUCUAUGAUCCUGGAAACAAAAACGUUCACCUUCGAAACCAACUUUUUGCAUCUCUUUCUCACUCCUUGCAAGUCCAACCACCCGAGAAGCGGUAAGUGGUCACUCCAGUUGAAUAUACCAAGCAGUUCGUACCCUUCACUCACCAGGCUCUCAAGCUCAACCGCAUCACCAGAAACACCUUUUCCAAAGUCGUAGCUCCUUCCAAACACGCUCAUCAUCACAUUGUUCAAAGACCCAAAAUGCAACACUUUCUUCACCUUCACCUCACCUUUCUUCUCCAUCAAAACCCUAAUCUCAUCCACCAUUUUCAACCCAAUAGUCCUCCGAAACUCCCCGAAACCAGCGAUUCUCCUCGGACUGAACAAAUGGGUGGCCGAAAUCCUCCUCAGAUUUCUCCAGUACACCCCGAACGGAGCAAAACCCAUUGCUCGGUGGAAUAAAAGCUCAUAAGCCGACUCCUUCACUGGUCGGUCCGCGAACGCCGAACUGUUCAGAAUCUCCUUGGCUGUUUCCGGUUGGCUGGAGAUAAUGAAACGAGUAAAGCCAACCGAAAAAGCCAUCAAUGGCGCAGCUUCAGAAACACGAGCCAGCUUGGCCAGAACCCUAUGAGUCAGAGAGCCAGUGAAGGCGAAAACAAGACCUAUCAGAGGUAACCCAGAAGGGCCAGGAAUGGCGCUACGUGCUUUAGCCUUGGACAUAGCCCAAGCUAAACCACCAGGCACAAGCCAGAAACCAAAGACGCCAACGAACAAAACCACACACAAGAACAGUUCCAAACUUAGAACUGGCGAGGACCCAGUUCCCGGAACGAACGAAAAGUAGUUUUCCGACGACAUUUUCACAAGGUAGAGCCGUAGAGCUCCCCGGGAGAGACACCAAGGGAAGAGGAUAGAGAAACGAAAGAG